UAGCUAGUUUACUGCCUCCCUCCCAACACACCAGCAGCUGCAAUGGGCUGGCAAAGCCCCUCGCCUGUUGCUGUCCAUGGCUUCACAUGGGCUGUGUUGUCUGGUGGGGCUUGCUGCUGCCUCCUCCCCACCAUCAAAGGCCCGGAGGAGCAGCUCCCAGCAGCAGCCGUGUCCAAGUGCAUCUGUGCACGGCCCCCAGCUCCCCAUGCUGCUCCAGGCAGGUGGCAGGCUGGGGCUGGCCCAGGGCUCUGCAGCCCCAACCAGGACAAGGAGCCAGCUCCUAGAUACAGCACAUCCAGCCUAGACCAUGGAAUCAGAAGAGGGAGCUGCCAACUGAGGAACAGCAGGUUUUAUACACUCCCCAGAUAGACACAAGACAUCUUCAGGUGUACCAUCCAGCUGAGCAGCAUCUCAAUGUACAGAUACAGGUGCCAGGUCUUGAAAUAGCAGUAGGUCAUCUUAACUCUCCAGAUGCCCACAGGUGAAACUCCAUGCAAGGAGUCUGCAGCAGUGGAGUGGAGGACAGUCACCUCUGGAUCCAGGCGGUGGGGCCCGGCUGGGGCAUCACUGCCCAGGCAGAAGAAGAAACACCGAGUGAUUGUGGUGGGCGCCUCGAUCCUGAGAGGCACAGAGAGGCUGAUCUGUCGACCAGAUCCUAUGGUGAGAGAAGUCUCCUGCAUGCCUGGAGCUAAGACCAGGGACAUCACUGAGGUGAUUCCUGCUCUCAUUAAGCCCUCUGACUACUACCCCAUGGUCCUCGUCCAUGUGGGAACCAACGAUACGGCUAGGACCAGCCCUGACCGCAUCAUGAAAGACUUCCAUGAACUGGAAGACAGCCUCAAGAAGACUGGAGCACAGGUUGUAUUUUCUUCCAUCCUUCCGGUUGACAGCAGCUGGAGACACCAGGGUGCCCGCGUCAAGGAAGUCAACCGGUGCCUCCAGAGUUGGUGUCUUCAAGACAGUUUUUGAUUCUACCACCAUGACCAGCACUUCCAGGGAGGAGGCUUGCUGGGAGAUGAUGAUCUUCAUCUCUCUCCCAGAAAUAAGUAUCUGUUUGCCCGCAGGUUGGCUGAUCUCCUCCAAAAAGCUUUAAACUAGGCUCGAUGGGGGUCGGGGAACUGGUGGUCGAAGAGAGCCCAGGGUUGAUAAAUCACAAACAAGAUGCCAGAUCGCACCAGGUAAGUAUUAAGGGGUUGGUAAGCCAUAAACAAGGCACCAGACCACACCAGGUAAGUAAUAAGGGAACACAUGCCAUCAAGGCACAGGGGCACCAAGAGUCCCCUUUGGGGGACUAAAAUGUCUUUAUACAAAUGCCAGGAAUAUAGGGAACAAGCAGGAGGAGCUCACACCCUUGCUUGCUAGCACCCAGUAUGACCUAGUCGGACUAACCAAGACAUGGUGGGAUUCUACACAUGAUUUGGCAGUAGGCAUUGAGGGGUAUAGGUUGUAUAGGCAUGACAAAGUGGGGAGAAAAGGUGGGGGGUAGCACUCUAUGUUAAGGAGCAGUAUACAUCUUCCACCAUUAAGGUGGGGGUGGAGGAGGGGAACACCGAGGCAUUGUGGGUCAGGAUCCAGGGGGGCCCAGGGGAAAAGGACUUGGUUGUGGGGGUCUACUACAGGCCUCCUCAUCAGGAUCAAGAGCUAGAUGAUGUAUUCUCUGGGCAGCUAGCAAACGCCACACAGGCGAGGGAGGCGGUAGUCAUGGGAGAUCUAAACUACCCAGAUAUCUGCUGGCAGGAGCAGACAGCCAAAACAAGAGGCUCAUGGAGGUUCUUACACUGUGUGCAGGACCUCCACCUAACCCAGGUGGUGUCUAGUCCCACCAGGGGUAGCACCUUGCUUAACCUGGUCUUAGCAACAGGGGAUGAUCUCGGGGGGGAACAUGCAAGUUCAUGGUAGCCUGGGAAAUAGUGACCAUCACUUGAUCGAGUUCACUCUUCAAUGAAGGGUGGGUAAAGUAACUAGUGGGGCUAAGGUGUUGGACUUCAGAAGGGCCAACUUUAGCAAGCUUAGAAGGCUAGUUAGUGAGGAGAUGCAACUCAAGAACAUAGAGCAUAUGGGGGUCCAGGAGGGUUGGAGGUAUCUCAAGGGAGUGAUCCUUGGUGCCCAUUUUCAAGAAAGGGAGAAGGGAUGAACCGGGUAACUUUAGACCAGUCUUACCUCUAUUCCUGGGAAAAUGCUACAGAAAAUAAUCAAAGAACACAUUUGUGCAGACCCAGCAGGGGAAACGAUGCUGAGGGGAAACCAGCAUGGGUUUGUCACCAGUAGAUCCUGCCUGAUAAACCUUGUAGCUUUCUAUGACCAGGUCACACACUGCCUGGAUGCGGGAGUCGAGGCUGAUGUCAUCUUCCUGGACUUUAGGAAGGCCUUCGACACAGCUUCGCACCCUAUCCUCAUUGGGAAGCUAGCAGACUGCGGAGUGGACACCUACACAGUCAGGUGGAUCCCAUCUCUUCCCAGAAAUCCUUCUUAUUGUAAGAACAUCCCAUUGUUAAAGAAGCCAAAUCCCUGCUGGUGACACCACUUGGGCAGUCAAGUGUUGAUCUUCAGGAUGCACCUGCUCCUGCCUGGGCCCUUUCCCUUGACUGGAAGGAUUGAUGAUGUUAGGGUGACAAUAUUUGGAUCUUAGAGAGCACUGGAUUUGCAGCUGAACACAAAGGCUUUACCUGUGGCCUAGCAAAGCUGCUGACUACAAGGCAGAAUGAUGGUUAAGCCAGCCAUUUGCUUAUGUUAAGUAACCAUUUUAACUGUGUCAACCAUUUUCUGAGGGAAAAGCAGCAAGUGAAUCUGUGUAAGUCUGUGCACUGUGAACCAACUACAGCAAGGAACGAGAUAAGAUAAAGGGGCCCAAAAAAGGGUGGAAGAUGGUACAACCUAAGACGGAAAAACAGACUGGAAUGUGGAAAACAACACAUAAUUGGUAACAGAAUCCAAGAUGAACAUAUGCAAAAAGGUGAAUGGUGAUUGGUGAAGAAGCCUCCAGAAGCUUCCAGGUUUUAGUCAAAGUCCACCCAUUGACCGAAGAAAAGGAGUCAAGGUCUUAGACUUGCACUCAAAAGCAAGAAGACAUGUAAGUGAAUGAAAUGCAUAGGCAAUUCCAUGCUAAUGAAGCAAACAGUAAACAGAGGCGGAGCUUGAGAUGGGAGGAGAAAUGGGUAGAAUGAAUGUUAAUAAACAUGAACUGAAGUGUAUAAAAGUGGAAAAAACUAUUGUUUGUGGCUGUUCCUUGUCUCUUAUGGCGAGAGAGCUCACCCGAAGCUGUCUCCAUUCUGAAUAAAGCUGUUGCGAGCAAUGUG